rnacentral:rRNA from 1 species
AACGAACGCUGGCGGCAUGCCUAACACAUGCAAGUCGAACGAGACCUUCGGGUCUAGGUGCGCACUGGUUCGUCACGCGUGGGAACCUGCCCUUAGGGUCGGAAUAACUCCCCGAAAGGGGUGCUAAUACCGGAUAAUGUCUUCUGACCAAUGAUUUAUCGCCUUUGGAUGGGCCCGCGUUGGAUUAGCUAGUUGGUAGGGUAAAAGCCUACCAAGGCUACGAUCCAUAGCUGGUCUGAGAGGAUGAUCAGCCACACUGGGACUGAGACACGGCCCAGACUCUUGAGGGAGGCAGAAGUGGGGAAUAUGGGACGAUGGGCGAGAGCCUGAUCCAGUAGUGCCGCGUGAGUGAGGAAGGCCUUAGGGUUGUAAAGCUCUUUGAACCGGGAUGAUAAUGACAGUACCGGGAGAAUAAGCGCCGGCUAACUCCGUG